GAUUUCUCUUGCUUAAUUGUUGCAUUUAAUUUUAUUCCAGCAUUGAUAUUUUCUUUGUUAUUCAUUUCUUGCAUUGCAAUUAGUUCACACACCUUACUUUAGGACUGUUCAAUUUAUUAUUUUAGUUCAUUAUGCUUUCAACUAUGUUCAGUUGUGUUUAAUUAUAAUUUAGUCAAUUGCAUUCACAAACUUUUCACAAACCCCCCCACUUCGUGUCUGACUUAAUUCUCGAACCGCAAAAUUGGUCCUUGAGAGACGACCUAGGAGUCAAUUCCUAGCUAUACUGCAUUUCUUAUAUGCAAUUAAAAUUGUGUGGGUUGCGACAGCCCAUCAAAUUUUGGCGCCGUUGUCGAUGACCAACGGUUCGGUUUUAGGUCUUUGUUGUGUUAGUGUGUGUUGUGUUUUGUCUUGUAUUGUGAGUGUGAUGUUCUGUUUUGUGUGUUCGUUUUUGUAUGUGUGUUAUCAUGUGUGUUGCAUUUAGGUAGCUUUAGUUGCAUAUUUUCAUUGCAUUCUUCUUACCCCCCCUUCUACAUGUCUACCUAUUUUGGUUAUCUGGAUACUAUUUCUUCUGCCGGUGUCUAUGAUUAUGAUUCUCUUUCUGCGGUUAACUCUGAUAUUGUUUCUCAUGCAUAUUCUGCUGACUUUUAUGUUGAGAACAAUAUGACUCAUCCUCCCAUUCUUGAGAGUGCUCUUUAGGAGCCAACUUCACUUAGUAAGGAUGAUGUUCAUUGCGUUCUCACAUCUGGACUGAUAGAUUUGUUGCCUAGGAUUUAUGGUUCUGCAGGUGAAUGCCCACAUAGACAUUUGGAGAGGUUCCAAUGCAUUUGCUCUGAAAUGAAACCUCCACAUGUCCCGGAUAAUCACAUUUUCUUAAAGGCAUUUCUGCAUUCAGUAAAAGAAGCAACAUGGGAAUGGCUUUAUUAUCUUCCUCCAGAAUUCAAGGCCAAUUAGGGAGAUCUUAAGCAUCGGUUUUUGGAAAGAUUUCGCCCUACUCAGCAUCAUUUUGAUUCAUAUAGCAACGAUCCUGGGUGGAAUGAUCCUAACCUGGGAUGGUAUGGUACUUCACAGCUUCAAUAUCAAGAACCACCAUUCCAGCACACUUGUGUGCCUCCCUCUGUCCAGCAACAACAACAGUUGCAGUUUCAUGAGCCUGCCCAAGCAACUUCUCAUCCUUCCACUACUUCUGAGCCUACAUUGAAGGAGUUGUUGAGACAAAUGACUGCUCAGAAUAUGCAGUUUCAGCAGGAAAUUAGAACUCAGAUUAUGUAGUGUCAGCAGUUCCAACAAGAGACCAGAACUUCCAUUCAGAGUUUGACUGAUCAGAUAGGGCAGAUGGCCACUCAACUCACUGAGGAACAGUCUUAUGUUUCAGAGGAAUCAACAUCUCAGAUUGUUCAGCUUCCAGAUGAUGUUGGUGUCAUCCACAUAGGAGAUGGGGAGCAGAGUCAUGAGCUUACUAUUGUGCCACUUACUUUCCCAUCCUCCUAUACCCCUACUCUUGCACCUGAGGAGACUGAUAAGAACUGGAGGACCAGGCUGACAUGAGCAACACUUUUGAGAUAGGUAGACCAGCUUCAGGGAAGUGGAGGUAAACAUACCUGUGAUUGAUUUGGUUGUUGAUGAUUAUGUUGAUGAUAGGUAUGUUGGUGAUUAUAUUAUUGAUGAGCAUGAUUUUGAUUUUCACUCUUUGCAUGAUGAGAAACAACUUUUACCAUCUUGUCUGAAUGUUUAUUCUCCAUGCAUUGAACAUGAAUCUGAUUCUGUUGUUGAUAUUGCUUCUGAAUUUGAAAGUGAUUCAUGUUCUGAGAGUAUAUCUGAUGUUCAGCAUGUUACACUGGGAUUGGGUGUUAUACCCCUGCAUGUUAAUUUUGUAGAACCACAUUGCGCUAACCAUUUUGCAGGAGGUACAUAUGAAUUUAACCAAAAAGCACCCACAAUGGAGAACAAAGGUGCUCGCAUACACAAGAGUUUGAAUAUCAAUAGGCACCGGCUGAACACGCUCAUCAGCAUUCACUUCUUAUUUGAUCCAGCUGUGGAGGACAUCUCCCUGCUUGAUCAAAUCUGGAGACUGAAGCAGUUCUUCCUCAACACUUCCUUGCUGAAUCCAGUGGUGGAAGACCUCUCCUUGAAAGUCCAAAAUUGGCAACUGCCACCAUGACCAGGGGAGUUUCCUUUUCCCUUCUCCCCCCUUUUCCGACUUUUAUUGCACUUGUUCAUGAUCUGUUAACUGUUUUGAAUUCUGAUCUCAUGCUUGUGACACACUGAGGACAUUGUGUAGUUUAAGUGUGGUCUAUUGGGGGAGUGAUGAGUCGAUAUUUUAUUGACUGCACUUAGUUUAUUGUACCGAAUUUAAUCAGGGAAUCGUGCUUAAAUGUCCGGUAUUUUCCCGUUUCUGCUAAUUGUGCUUAAUUUGAUCGGAAAUUCGAAUUUUAAUUAAUUUGAAUUUUCUGAGCUAAUUAUUUGCAUUAUUAUUUGCAGGGAAAAUUUUGGAAACACAAUUUGGGACAUUUGGAGUGCUAUCAAAUAAGUCAAGACUCUUCACAUGGACAUUUCAAAUUUAAUUACUUUGAAACUUAGUAGUCUAGAUAAUUUUAAUUAAAUUUGUAAAUAAUGGGCCAAUUUUUGGUAAAAUAGUUUAGGCCCAAAAAGUUAGAAUAGAUGACACAUGUCCUACCUAGGGUUGGGUGGAUCCCACCCUAAUUUUUCAGCACACACUCUCUCGGCAAUAGGUAGCUGCAGCUGAUGCAUAUUUGGGGAUUCACACUCUCUGAAUAAUAAUUGGAGGCUGCAACGUAUUGGAGACAAAAUCUGCACUGAUAUUGAAGAUGGAAGGCUACGNGUGAAGCAAUCUCCAUUUCUUUAUUCCAGCAUUUUUGGUUCAUUUAGAAUAGCAUUUCAAUGUCCAGCCGCACUUGCUUACAUGGUUUCUCUUGAACNUUUUUCUUUUUGCCUUUAAAUGCAUUGUACGNUGGUUGCNUUUAUUAGAUAAUGAAGAAGCNUAUUNUUAUUUUUGANAAGCAUUGCUGCAUUUGAUGAAUGUUAGAAACUUUCUUUUAUUGAUUUCAACGCUGUUACGGCUAACAAUUUUUGGCAUUGGAUAUUUCUUUUUUUUAUUCAAGAGCGUAGGAUUCCAUUUUAUUUUAGUCUUGGGUGCACNUUGUCCAGCUGGAGAAGGCUUUCANGCAUAUUCAUUUUAUUUUCUUUUGAAGAAAGGUGUUGAACUUUUAUUUCAAUCUUCCAAUAUUGUGCAUGCGUGAUUUAUCAUUUGAAGAUAUAGUUGCUUUUACUUUGGGAUUAUGAUGCAAGCCGUGAUUUGAUUUUUGGAAUAGUUAAUACUUCAUUUUCUUACAUUUAGCAAAAUAGGAAUUUUGGGAAAAGUGAUGUACGGUGAUGGAUUUUUAUUGUUUUCCUUAACAAAAGAAAAAAAAAAGGAUGCACGCUGGUGAUUUCUUUUCUUCCAAAAGUGAUGCACAUUGGGCAUUUAUUUUUAAAGCAGGUGAUAUUUUCAUUGGGAGGGUCACGACAAUGCCUCCAUUUAAUUAGCUUUUACAUAUUUUAUUUAUUUUUUUUACAUAUUUUCUAGUCAUAGUAUUUUAUUUAUUAGUUAUAGGAUGCAUAUUUUAUUUUAAGCCGCAAUGUGAAUUUAAUGUUUAGUUAAUGUGUUUCUUUAUUAUCCAUCUGCAUUUUAAUUAGUUUACAUGUUUUGUUUUAGGAAUUUUCAAUUUACUUUAACGCUUUUAAUUAUCUUCGGUUUAAUUUCCAUUUUUAAUUUAUUUUAAUUCACCUUGCAAAAACACAUUCAAACCCCCCCCCCCCACUAUGUGUUAAACCUGAUUCUGAACCGCAGUUGGUUCUUGAGAGACGACCUAGGAGUCACUUCCUAGCACUAUACUGCAUUUCUAAUAAAUCUGAUUUUUCUUUGAUUAGUUUAUGUUUUCUGCGUUAAAUUUUUUUCUUUUCUAGGUAGUUUUUGUUGCGUCUUGUGUACAGUUUUGCAUGUUUCUUGUGAUCUCUAGACUUGGUUUAGGUUGUAGAUUUAUCUUUCACUUCAUUGAUACUCUGAUUGGUUUGCAUCCUUGCUUUUCUUUGAUUGGAGGAUGAUCAUGAUGUUUGAGAGGGUGAUUGAUUGUGACAAGAAAUUACCCUAUGUGAGAUUUGAGCCACUUAAUGUUCUUUCUUGUGUGAUAUGUCUCUUGAUUGCUUGCACAUAUGCCUUGGCUUGACUCUUGUUCAUAGUUCUUGAUUGAUAUGCAUGUUUGAAAGUGAUAAAGGCAGUUUUGUUGUUGAGCCUCUCUAGCCAAAUGAGCCUACCUUGUUAUGAUCCUUUGAUAGCCCCUUUGAGCCUUUACUUUCCCCAUUCUUUGUUUUGAAGCUCAUACACUAGCCCUAAGUGAAAAACCAUGAUUACCUUAACCUUAGGGAAUUUUGGAGCUUUGGAAUUAUUUUGGGAAUAAGUGUGUCUCUUGGGAUAUUCAGAUGAAUUGGCUAGUUGGUUCCUCUUCUUGCUUUUGUUUUGUAAAUAGGGUGUAUCUUGUCUCUUGAAAUUUGUGUUCUAAAAAGAGAGAAAAGAAAAGAGACAAGAUGAGAAAUGAAAAAAAAAACAGAGAAAAAUGAGAAAAAUAAAAAAAUUGUGAAUAAUGGAGUCAAGAAGAGGAUUGAAUUAGAGGGUUUUGGGUGUGAUUUAACUAUGUUUACACUUGUUCCCCAUUGCUCCUCUAUUUCUUUUGGUUUGUAGCUUCUUAUCCAUAUUUAUCCUCCCUUGUCCUUGGCCCCAUUACAACCAUGAAAAGACCUUUUGAUUUGAACAUGCAUAUGUUGAGUGUUGAUAUUAUAGGCUUGCCAAAUCUAUUUGUGUUUUCUUAAUUGAGUGCAUUGAGUUUACACUAUUUACCCUAGACGCUUGAGAGAAACACUGAUAGUGUAUCUGUGAGGUUUUGUUACUAUUGAUUCACCUCUUAAGCUGAUUGAUCAUUUUGCCAUGCUUUGAAUUGUCUGGAUGACCUCUUAAGUAUCUGCUUUCUCUGAUUCAUUUUGUGUUGGAUAUUGUCUACUUCUUUUCUCUGUCCAGAUUUCUUGAGAACUAUGUAAUUUUGUUCUGUCCUUGUGAGUCUUAGUUUCCUGUAUGUUGAGUCUGUCUCUUCUCUGAUGUCCGUAGAACUGUUCCUUGAUUUGCGUCUUGAUUUUGCCCAAGAGUGCAAAAGACUAAGUGUGGUCUAUUUUGAUGAGUCGAUAUUUUCCUAACUGUAUUUAUUUUAUUGCGCUAAAAUAAAUUAGGGAAUUGUGCUUAAAUUUCCGGUAUUUUCCCGUUUUUCCUAAUUUUGCUUAAUUUGAUCGGAAAUUCUUAUUUCAGUUAAUUUGAAUUUUCUAAGCUAAUUAAUAUUAGUUGCAGGGAAAUUUUGGAGAUAUCUUUUAGAGCAUUAGGAAGGAGGCAUGAUCAUUAAAGACUCUACAAUUAGGCAUUUCAUUUUUAAUUAAAUUGUAACUUAGUUGUCUAAGAAGCUUUAAUUAAAAUUAUGAACAAUGGGCCAUUUUGGCAAAAAUGUAAAAAGCCCAAUUGUAAAGAUGAUGACAUGGCACCUAGGGUUUUUCAAAUGGGUGGACCCCACUCCAUUUUUAGAGACACACGGCCAUUUGCUAGCCAGCAGCUGACACUUCACUUACUCCAAUUCUCGGCAGAUUUUGGGGGCUGGAAUGGAGCACGGUUACGGAGGUGUCCAGCCGCGACAAGGUUUGGCUUUUCUUUGAACAUUUCAGGGGAUGAGUUUUUGAAUGUUAUUCACGCUAUUUGGGAGCAAUUUAUUAUAUUGGAUUUUUAUUCCAGCUGCCACAUCCUCUUUUGGGGUUUUGUUGUUAACGUUGUAGGAGGAUGAGUUCUUGAAUUUAGUUUUUUUUACUCACGCUGUUUCAUGAACGAGAUGCUACCCCUUUCCAAUUUGGGUUUUAUGCUCUUUUAUUUCAAGCAUUUUAUUGCUUCUUUGCUGGAGACUUUGUUUUUUAUUUUAUAAAAAAAGUUGGCAUUUUUCUUUUCUAAUGGAUAGCAAGCAGCACGUUCACGACAUUAUGCAGGAGGAAGCGGCAUCUUCAUUUUUUAUGCUUUUAGACAAAGCAUGCGCUGAUUUCAAUUUACUUGGAGAAAAGCUCAUUUCGUUUUGGUUGGAGGUGCACACGUUGAUUUCUUUGCUUGGAAAAAGGAAGAUGCGCUGAUUAACAUUCACUUAUUGCACCACNGUGACAUUUAUUUUACUUUGAAAUUUGAAGCACACAGCUGCAUUUACUUUUUACUUAUGGAAGAAGACGUACUCAAUUUUGCUUUAAAUUCCAAGNUGCACUUUAUAUGAUUCAUUAGUCUAAAGCUUUGCAUUUUAAAAGAAUUAUAUGUNUUUUCCUUGAAUGCAUUUUCGGAUUUCUCUUGCUUAAUUGUUGCAUUUAAUUUUAUUCCAGCAUUGAUAUUUUCUUUGUUAUUCAUUUCUUGCAUUGCAAUUAGUUCACACACCUUACUUUAGGACUGUUCAAUUUAUUAUUUUAGUUCAUUAUGCUUUCAACUAUGUUCGGUUGUGUUUAAUUUUAAUUUAGUCAAUUGCAUUCACAAACUUUUCACAAACCCCCCCC
rnacentral:lncRNA from 1 species